UGUCCAGGAUCGUGCCUACCUUCAACUAG
rnacentral:piRNA from 1 species